UUUUUCCACUUCUCUUUUCAGUUAGUUUAUUUUUUCAAUUGCUUAAUAAAAAAAAAACCAAAAAACGAAUUGACGACCAACCACAAAUUCUACAGCUCAUCAUCACCCUCUGGCAGGGAGACUAGCUUGCCUCGCUUGAGUAACCACGCCAACACCUCCCAUCUCAUUCUGUCUCCCUCCUUCCAAUGUCAAUGACAUGCAAAUGGAGGUGCAUUGCAUUCAAUAGUCGGGUACGUCACGUGACCUAAAGGUCAAGUGUCGGAGGGCGCCGGGAGGCCCAGUGUCACAGAUGAGGAAGGACCCCAUUGUGUUUCAAUGAGUCACUACAUUGCAUAUGGAACCAGAAUCGGCCAAUAGCACUACAGCAUAGCUUUCAAUCUAAAAUAUCACAGUAAUACCACACUUACCAGGCAAGAGAUCAUCGGUAUCACAAUGGAUUCAGUCACUUAAAAUCAAAACCCAUUGAUAAAAUAAAAACUAAAUGAACAUUUUAAAUAAAAACCUCAAAUAAAAUAAAUAAAAUCAGCUCAUAGGCAUGCGCACACUUAGACGGAUGGGUUUGUAUAGAUCUCCCAACUCAUAUAUAUAUAUAUAUAUAUAUGUUUCAAUUCAAGACCCUCCUAGUGACUUGGGUGUGUGACUAAACUUAAAGAUUUGGAUUCUUGAUGCAAGACAGGAAAAAAAAAUAACACAAAACUUCCCAGAGAGAUUCAAUUCAAUGGGAAAUCAGGAGCAAGUAACACUAGUAGUCAUAGGACUGACAGACUGUCCCAGACAGAGCAGUUCAUUCAACAUGACCUGAAGCCAUAGUAAGAAGACAUAGAAAGGCCACCUUCCUAUCCACACAACCCUAUAGCUAAAUAGGAUGUAGCCAUAGUCUCUGUUUGUACCAUUCCCGCAGAGCACUCGUUCUGUUUUCUUAAAUACGGGCCAUUACUGUACAGUGGAUUACAUACAACCCAUCAAACGAUAGAAUGAUGAGUGGGUUGGUAAACGUCAAUAUCGUGGUAAACACAUUUGCAGAAGCCAGAAUAAUGCGAAUCACAUACUAGCAACCUACAUUAUAUCAUAAAAAUAAUCUGUAAAAUAACACAGAUUAAAAGAUUUCAUCAUUAUACAGAUAUAAAGACUUGCAAAAUGGCUGCGUGAACAGGAGACCAUUUGAAGAAGGAUUUUAUCAUGCUUGUUUCUUCCUCCUCUUAAAGGAGCUACAUUUCAUUUUGCAAGAAAUAAUAAACUCAAAUUCGGCCACUCCGUCUCAACAAGCACUCUCUACCUCCCAGCCUUCAUUUUUAAAACAGGACGCAACUCCAUAAAUGUAUUAUUAUAGAUGACAAGGCCACUCUUCUGACUGACUUCAAACCGACCACGUCUAUGAUUCUUCCUUCUAGCCAAACCUUCCCUCUUCGUCAGGUCAACCAACACCUCAAACCUUCCCUCUUCGUCAGGUCAACCAACACCUCAAACCUCCCCUCAGUCUAGUCAACCAACUCCUCAAACCUUCCCUCUUAGUCUAGUCAACCAACUCCUCAAACCUUCCCUCUUAGUCUAGUCAACCAACUCCUCAAACCUUCCCUCUUAGUCUAGUCAACCAACUCCUCAAACCUUCCCUCUUAGUCUAGUCAACCAACUCCUCAAACCUUCCCUCUUCGUCAGGUCAACCAACACCUCAAACCUUCCCUCUUAGUCUAGUCAACCAACUCCUCAAACCUUCCCUCUUAGUCUAGUCAACCAACUCCUCAAACCUUCCCUCUU
ensembl:lncRNA